UGUUCGGUACAGGGAGUCUGCUGGACCCAUCCAGCAGCCUCGGCGCUGUUUGAUAGAAAGGGGAUCGAGGGGAAAACAGAGCCGAUGGGCGUCGGCGGCGGCGGCGCCUCGUCGGCUUUCUCCCGUUCUCCCGAACUGCUUUUAUACUCGCGUGGGUCUCCGAUUAGAGGUGGCGCAGCCAUGGCGAUGGAUUUCCCCGUCUCUCCGGUGGACAGUGCGGCAACACUAAUGGAGUUGAUUGGUGGCGUUGGUCGUGGGGAAGAAGAGACGGCCAAUGGAUCUCGCGGGGCAGUUGUAUGUGGAUUUGGGUGGAGCUAGCUCACCUGGGCAGUCCGUGGUCCUGCUAUGUAUGACGAGGAAACCAGUGUAGCUGCCGGCGGCGUUGAAGGCCAUCUUGAUGGGGACCAUGACGCUGUGAUUCAAGAUCAAACAGAAAAGUGGCGAUGGAGGCUCGGCUCAAUCUACUGGGAAGGUGGAUCCCCAAGCACAUGGAUAGACAAAAAGAUAGAAGUAGGAGCGUCUCACGCAUUGCAAGUGCUGAAGCUUCGGUCGACGAGCUUGAUGCUGCUCCUGUUCAUGUCUGUGGAUCUACAAGGGAUGGUGGUGAUGAAGAGCCGAGCAACUUCAACAUAUCCUGGGUGAUCUUCAUGCUGCACACGCAAUGGCCAGUGCCUCUGGAGCUGCACGAACAUGCAUAUUUUCUUCUGAUAUGGAUGGCAGCAUCCAAACACUAGUCCCAUAUGGUGAGAGUGAUGAGGAGGUUGAUCUGCCGGACAAUGAUAUUGCCUUUUGCCUGCGGUCAAUGUUUGCAAUGCCAGGUGCACCCGGGAGUACUGCUGGAGGAAUGAGUAUAAGUACAGCUCCUCAUGUAGCUGCAUAUGCCCGAGAGCUAGAGAAGAAGCUCGAAAGGAAAGGUAAGACCUAAAUACCGAAAACAGCACACAUACUGAUGCAAGAGCUAGAGAAGAAGCUCGAAAGGAAAGAGAUUGAUGCUAAUGAUGUAGGCGAGGACCCACUCGGGGUAGCUGCUCGCAAAGACAAGGCCACUGCAUGGAUUAGAAUUCAGAAAACUGCCCGAGUGUUGUUUGGUUAAUGCCCUGAAAAAACAGAGUGAACCUGGCCUGGACAGCCCAGGCAGAUGGUUAGCCUGCCAGGCAUCCUGUUUUGUUCGCCUGGGCCAAGGGGAGCAUCAGCAUGGAGCUAAACUAGGAGUUUGCAGUGUUCGCUGCUUUAUCAGUUUUUAUAUUAUUUUAAUCCUCUGAUGACCUCUCAGGCUCAGGCCACCCUCCAAACAACAACGCGUCCCGGCUGCCUGGCAAGGCGAGCAGAAUCAAAAAUUCAGGUGCAAGCCAGGCAACAUUUUUGCCCAGGCAUCUCGCCGAGGACAGCAACCAAACUACUCAGUAAUGAUAGUGUGACACCAUGGAGCGAACAUGUCAUAGCAUAUUCAACUUUACACAUGGUCUAUGACACAUGACGCCCUGUCCCAGCAGGCUCGGCACUCUCUGCUCCGCUGAAUUACAGGACCGGACACCGUGUCUGGGGAGAAUUGGUGCACUGGAGCAAAUGAUUCAGGGGUAUGCAGAUAUGUUGGGUGAGCACGGUGCUAUUGGGCUAACAUUAGACUCUAUGGGAGAAACCUAUGAUUUUUACAAUCUUCAUUCAUGGAAGCAUGGUUUCGCCAUCAGAUAUGGGGAAAGUAGGUUUACGUUGAGAAGACAAAGUGUAUGCAGGAAGUCGUCUGUGGAUGCUCUGGGAAGCCAAAAAUCAGAAAACAGCAGGUCCUGUUGGUGCGAGUGCCAAGCCAUGAUUCGAUUGCUUCGCGCAGCUGACAAUGGGCACGCCUCGUCUGUCGCUGCAGUCGGAGAUGCAAUUGGUGGCGAGCAGUUAGCUGUGAUUCACGAUGAUGAUGAAGCGCUGGCUCAAUCGACGAGGAGGAUGGAUCAACAGGCGCCUAGCUGGAUGAAAGCCAACACGGAUAAACUUUGCCUGGUGGAAUUGACUGUGAGGUUUGGGGGUUCUUCAUUGUGACUGAAUGAUAGACUGACAGUAGAAAUUUAGAAAUUUCUUGUACAAGCUAGAGUAGGGGAGGUGUAGUUCUGAAAAAACGUGUGAAGUUUUCUAAACUGAAGCAUGCAAGUACUGGAAUGAAAACAUGCAUAUUUUGAAUUGUAGUGUUUUACUUAGAAUAUGAGUGUGUCGUAUUGCAAACUGCCCGUGUUAGGGCAGCAGAUAUAGACUUGAUUUUUUUUCUUUGUUUAUUCUAGUUUGGGUCACUGAGUCUCAUUUUUGGGAAGUGUGUUA